GAUGUGAGUGAUGUAAACAGUUCCUUAGGUUGGUCAUUUUUGACUGUUUUGGUCAAAUUACUUGAUCUACCAAUGUUAGGAUUAGUCAUAGUUACACUGACACAUG